GUUUGGGUGUUGCUGGGUGGCCAGGUCCCCGAGUUGGGACGGGCGGAAAGGGGAACCCCCAUCAUGAGCCGGACGAACCUAUUCCCAGCGUUGAGAAAGUGGAGAUGAACUGUGCAUGAGGCCAAACUGAAGUGGUCAAUGUGGUCUCCCCUCUCCCCAGUCGCCAGGUAACUCAUCAUGGCGACGCCCCCUAAACGGCGGGCGGUGGAGGCCACGGGGGAGAAAGUGCUGCGCUACGAGACUUUCAUCAGUGACGUGCUACAGCAGGACCUGAGAAAGGUGCUGGACCAUCGAGACCAGGUAUAUGAGCAGCUGGCCAAAUACCUUCAACUGAGAAAUGUCAUUGAACGACUCCAGGAAGCUAAACACUCGGAAUUAUAUAUGCAGGUGGAUUUGGGCUGUAACUUCUUCGUUGACACAGUGGUCCCAGAUACUUCACGAAUCUAUGUGGCCCUGGGAUAUGGCUUUUUCCUGGAGUUGACACUGGCAGAAGCCCUCAAGUUCAUUGAUCGUAAGAGUUCUCUCCUCACAGAGCACUGUGGUGAUCGAUGGAUGUGCAGCAGUGGCCAAGACAAAAGAUCUCCUUGAAGGCAUACAAAUCUAGUGGGACUAUAUUGUUAUAUAUAAAAACAGUUAUGACCAGAUCAAUGCAGUCUCAGCCUGUAAAUCACUAACAAUAAAAUAAGUUAUUUCUGACCUUACCUCCUGCUGAUUUUUCUGUCAAUUCACUGUGCUCUCACCACAGUGACCUGCAGGUGCUUCUUUCUUACAUUCUUUUUUUUUUUUUGAGACAGAGCCUCAAGCUGUUGCCCUGGGUAGAGUACUGUGGCAUCACAACUCACAGCAACCUCCAACUCCUGGGCUCAAGUGAUUCUCUUGCCUCAGCCUCCCAAGUAGCUGGGACUACAGGCGCCCACCACAACGCCCGGCUAUUUUUUGGUUGUAGUUGUCAUUGUUGUUUGGCAGGCCCGGGCUGGAUUUGAAACCGCCAGCUCUGGUGUAUGUGGCUGGCGCCCUAGCGGCUUGAGCUACAGGUGCUGAGCCAUCAGGUGCUUCUUUCAACACCCCAUGAAUGGUCCCACCUCAGGGCAGUUGCAGUGGCUGUUCUCCUUGCAGUGCUCUUUUCUCUAGUACUCAUGGGGCUUCCUUUCUCCUCACUCAUUAUCCUGAUUAAAUGUCACUUCCUCAGUAAGGCCUUCUGUAACCUCACUUUAUUGUUUAUUUAUUUUUGGAGACAGAGUCUUACUAUGUCACUCUCAAUAGAGUGCCGUGCCGUCACAUCUCACAGCAACUUCAAACUCUUGGGCUUAAGCAGUUCUCUUGCCUCAGCCUCCCAAGUAGCUUGGAGUACAGGCGCUUGCCAUAACGCCUGGCUAUUUUUUUGUUGCAGUUGUCAUGGUCAUUUAGCUGGCCUGGGCUAGAUUUGAACCCACCAGCCUUGUUGUAUGUGGCUGGUGCAUUAACCACUGUGCUACAGACUCCGAGCCUGUAACCUCACUUUAAAAUUGCUCCCCCAGCACUCUUGAUUCCCUUCCCCUCUUCUAGUUUUCCUUUUUCCUCUAGCACUUAUCACCCCCUGAUUUUACUGUAUAAUUGUCAUAUUCAUUGUUUUUUCCAAUUAGGAUGUAAGCUUUAUCAAGACACUCUCUACAUAUUGAAAGAAUAUGAAAAGGCUCAGCGACAGCCUCACCAAGGACUCCAUGAAUAUCAAAGCUCAUAUCCACAUGUUGCUAGAGGGGCUUAGAGAAAUACAAGGCCUGCAGAAUUUCCCAGAGAAGCCUCACCAUUGACUUUUUUCCUCCAUUCUCUGACAUUAAAGACUCCUAAUGCCUUUGA